CAAACCAGCAGAAAUGGCGCCUCAGCCGUCGCUGCAGUCGCGUGUAGCCGAGCCAGGGGCGUCCCUGGUGGGCUUCGUUGCCCGCUGCCAGAGCCGUUUCCUCGAGGCAGCAGCUGAAAUGGAGGGCAGUAAAGAUUGAUGAGGUGGAAAGACCAGUGGGCCACAUGGUAGAUCAAGUUCUCCAGAGAUCCACAACAGGAAAAGAAAAGCACACAGAAAAGAGAUGACAUAUCAAACAUAAAGCCCACGGGCCGGAUGGGCUCAUAUCUCACCUGUGGGGCCGCCCUGGAGAUGGUGAGGGACCAGCUUAGCCCAGCCGGGUGUCGAUGUGACAUUCACACAGGAGGCAGCAAGCUCAUGGGAGCUGAUGGCAUCCAGCAACAGCUGCAGCCUGCUGGCCCCUUGGCUGGUGCACUCGGGCUGCGCAAUCUGUCGACUACGUUUGCAAAUGUGGUCGAAAGUCAUAGAGGAGAUAACGGAUAGGACCGAUCCAGUAUCUAGCUUCAUGGAGCAUGGGACCCCUGAAGUUUUAGUUGCAGUCUUAUCUUUUCUUUGUUGGGCCAUUGGGCCAUUUAAGCUGUUCGUAGUGCAUUGGCAACACAGCUGUCAGUGAUUUUAUCCCAUGACAGUGACUAUAGGCAAGACACACUUGUCUUUGUACUCCUCACCUGGUUGCUGCCAUGCGCACGCUUGACACCAUCUGAACCAAAUAAGUUUACCUUGGUCUCAUUGGACCACAGGACAUGGUUCCAGAAACCCAUGUUCUUAGCCUGCUUGUCUCCAGCAAGCCAUUCUUGUGCAUCAUCUGUAGAAGAGACUUCCUUCUGGGAACGGCAGCCCUGCAGACCAAUUUGAUGCAGCGUGCGGUGUAUGGUCUGAGCAUUGGCAGGCUGACUCUCCCACCCCUUCAACCUCUGCAGCAAUGCUGGCAGCACUCAUGCGCCUAUUUCUCAAAGCCAACCUCCGGAUAUGACGCUGAGCAAGGGCACUCGGCUUCUUUGGUCAACUAUGGCGAGGCCUGUUCUGAGUGGAACCUGCCCUGUUAAACCGCUGUAUAGUUUUGGCUACCAUGCUGAAGCUCAGUUUCAGGGUCUUGCGGGAGCAGCAAGCGGAGGCAGCGAGGAUUCAGAGAGCAGCCAGCAGUUCAACUUCGCACACGAGGUAGCAGCAAUAGGAGCCGAAUGAACUUUUGGUUUCUGCGCCCAUGCGCACGGGCCAAUCAGCUAGCCACUGUUUGGGUUUCUGGCUGAUGGCGUGCGCAUUAACGCCAGAAACCCGGAAGAUGAAUCGGUGACGCGUGAUGUGUCAGGCGACAUAGCUCUGCGUGCCACCUGUGGCAUGCGUAUCAGGUUCGCAAUCACAGGGAUAGGUGUUUUGCUGAAGCGCCUUAAUCAUACAUUUGUAAUCAGCGCAGAUGCGGACUGAGCCGUCAGGUUUUAUCGGCUGACCAAUAGGAGUCUCCCACUUUGCAUCGUCUACUGGCUCCAAGACCCCCUGGCCAAUUAGCUUGCCUAAUCCACUGUCAAUUUUGGGCCGGAGAACAAAAGGGACCCUUUGUGGCUUCAUCUGGAUAGGGGCAAUUUUGGGGUCUAGGCUAAAAGAGAUGGGCGUCCCCGCAUACUUGCCCAAACUCCCGUUGAAUACGUCCGCAAACUCCUUGACCCCCUCGUCAUUGCUGUCAUCUUUGAAGGGGGGAUGCCAGUCCAUGCCCAGGGAUGUGAACCAGUCCAAGGCAAGUCUUGGCAAGGCGCCGUCCACCAAAUAGAGAUUGAAUUAUCUCAUACUCAUCUUUAUUUAAAGGGCUUCUGGAUCUGUUCUCUGGGAUGCAAAUUUGCCUUGUUUGAAGCUUCUCAAAUCAUCUUUAUGCCAUCAUUGGAAGCCUGGGAAUAAAAUCCAGCCAGAGUAAAAUUUGCAGCAAUUUUCAUUCCACAACAGAUGUAAUAUAGAGAGUCUGGAAGAAACAUGAGGUGUUUCAAGUUUUCAACAGUCUUUGAAAAUUAUGGUUGGACCAGAAGAUAUUAACAGAUGCAUCCUUUGAAAAUACAGAUGAAACAUCAAAGCACAUAAAGAAGUGCAGUUAAAGCCCCUCUCACCUUCAGUCCUCUAAAAAUGAAUGUUUCCGGCAGAUGCACCAUGAUCUCUGCUAACUAUUUUCAAGAUAAAUGACUGGAUGAGAUAUUUUGAUUACAUUGUUCUCUUUCUCAAGAGGGGAUGAAGGCUGCUUCCCUUUUGAGAGCUGUUGCACUAGAUAAUUCCGUCUUUUUCUUUUAUCGUUUUAGAA